GCCGCUAGGAUGCGGGAGGUGGCCGAUCUGAUCUUGAGGUUUCCUGAAGAGAGGCCGGUGAUUGUUCUCUCAGCAAUGGGGAAGACGACUAAUAAGCUUCUAACUGCCGGGGAAACGGCCGUCAGCUGUGGCGUAACUCAUGUUUCCGAGCUCGAAGAGUUGAGCUUCAUAAAGGAAUUGCACCUUAAGACGGUUGAUGAACUUGGAGUUGACAGGGAUACUGUCUCUGUUCUGUUGGAUGAACUGGAGCAGCUUCUAAAAGGUAUUGCCAUGAUGAAAGAGCUGACAGCCCGUACCAGAGAUUACCUGGUUUCAUUUGGAGAAUGCAUGUCUACACGAAUUUUUGCAGCGUAUUUGAACAAAAUUGGAGCUAAAGCACGGCAGUAUGAUGCAUUUGAUAUCGGAUUUAUAACGACAGACGACUUCACGAAUGCCGACAUUUUGGAGGCUACUUAUCCUGCCAUUGCAAAGAGGCUGCAUGGAGAUUGGAGUAAUGACCCCGCAAUCCCUGUUAUCACUGGUUUUCUUGGAAAGGGC
rnacentral:misc_RNA from 1 species